AAGUCGAACGGUAACAGGAAGAAGCUUGCUUCUUUGCUGACGAGUGGCGGACGGGUGAGUAAUGUCUGGGAAACUGCCUGAUGGAGGGGGAUAACUACUGGAAACGGUAGCUAAUACCGCAUAACGUCGCAAGACCAAAGAGGGGGACCUUCGGGCCUCUUGCCAUCGGAUGUGCCCAGAUGGGAUUAGCUAGUAGGUGGGGUAACGGCUCACCUAGGCGACGAUCCCUAGCUGGUCUGAGAGGAUGACCAGCCACACUGGAACUGAGACACGGUCCAGACUCCUACGGGAGGCAGCAGUGGGGAAUAUUGCACAAUGGGCGCAAGCCUGAUGCAGCCAUGCCGCGUGUAUGAAGAGGGCCUUCGGGUUGUAAAGUACUUUCAGCGGGGAGGAAGGGAGUAAAGUUAAUACCUUUGCUCAUUGACGUUACCCGCAGAAGAAGCACCGGCUAACUCCGUGCCAGCAGCCGCGGUAAUACGGAGGGUGCAAGCGUUAAUCGGAGUUACUGGGCGUAAAGCGCACGCAGGCGGUUUGUUAAGUCAGAUGUGAAAUCCCCGGGCUCAACCUGGGAACUGCAUCUGAUACUGGCAAGCUUGAGUCUCGUAGAGGGGGGUAGAAUUCCAGGUGUAGCGGUGAAAUGCGUAGAGAUCUGGAGGAAUACCGGUGGCGAAGGCGGCCCCCUGGACGAAGACUGACGCUCAGGUGCGAAAGCGUGGGGAGCA
rnacentral:rRNA from 1 species